CACGGAGGGUGCUAGCGUUGUUCGGAAUUACUGGGCGUAAAGGGCGCGUAGGCGGCCUGGGAAGUCGGCUUGUGAAAGCCCGGGGCUCAACCCCGGAGGUGCGGCCGAUACUCUCUGGCUGGAGGCCGGAAGAGGAGGGUGGAAUACCCAGUGUAGAGGUGAAAUUCGUAGAUAUUGGGUGGAACACCGGUGGCGAAAGCGGCUCUCUGGUCCGGACCUGACGCUGAGGCGCGAAAGCGUGGGGAGCAAACAGG
rnacentral:rRNA from 1 species